rnacentral:lncRNA from 1 species
GUUAAGUUAGAGUUCCCUUUAUAUAAUGGUGUAGAUUAUCUGUAAUUAUUAGCCAAUUAUCUGCCGAGUUCCAAUUCUAAUUUGCAUCAAAUAACUCUCACUUCCUCUCAACCACACAUUCUUAUUUAUAGGCAACAAACUCAGUUAGCUACAGAUAAGAAACAAUUACAAUUCAAAUAAAAGUGAUGGUUGCUAAAGAUGUUUUUACCAGAAAUACUCCAGGAUGAAGGAGGCGCAUUCCCAUUAUCAUUGUUUGUAGCUUUCUGAGUCUUCUUCUUCUUAUGAUAAUAAUAAUAAUAAUCAUAAUAAUAAUAAUAAUAAUAAUAAUAAUAAUAAUCAUAAUAAUAAUAAUAAUAAUAAUGAUAAUAAUAAUAAUAAUAAUAAUAAUAAUAAUUUAAUGUUUUAUGAUGCCUUAACAUCUAACAUUCUUAUUUUUAAUACUAAUACUGAGAAAACAAUCAAGAAUGAUAUUCUGAGAUGAUAAAAAAAAAAAACUAUGUUCUCUGACGCAUAGACUAACCUUCAGCAGUCCUAAUUCAAGUAUAAAACUCAUUAUCAUUGGUACUGCAGUAAAAACACCAAUCUGCACCAAAAGUUGAGCAUUCAAAGCUGCAUCCAGUGCUGCAUUACCCAUCAGUUUUGCCUUCUCUAAGACAGCUUCAUCAAGACCAGAAAACGCCCGAGAGCAAGAACAUCAUAAAG